rnacentral:rRNA from 1 species
UGGGGAAUAUUGCACAAUGGGCGAAAGCCUGAUGCAGCGACGCCGCGUGAAGGAUGAAGGUCUUCGGAUUGUAAACUUCUAUCAGCAGGGAAGAAGAAUGACGGUACCUGACUAAGAAGCCCCGGCUAACUACGUGCCAGCAGCCGCGGUAAUACGUAGGGGGCAAGCGUUAUCCGGAUUUACUGGGUGUAAAGGGUGCGUAGGCGGCUUGGCAAGUCGGAUGUGAAACCUCAGGGCUCAACCCUGAGCAUGCAUCCGAAACUGCUAAGCUAGAGUGCAGGAGAGGAAAGCGGAAUUCCGAGUGUAGCGGUGAAAUGCGUAGAUAUUCGGAGGAACACCAGUAGCGAAGGCGGCUUUCUGGACUGUAACUGACGCUGAGGCACGAAAGCGUGGGGAGCGAACA